rnacentral:rRNA from 1 species
CCUACGGGUGGCAGCAGUGAGGAAUAUUGGUCAAUGGGCGCGAGCCUGAACCAGCCAAGUCGCGUGAGGGAUGACUGCCCUACGGGUUGUAAACUUCUUUUAUAAGGGAAUAAAGUGCGGCACGUGUGCCUUUUUGUCUGUACUUUAUGAAUAAGGAUCGGCUAACUCCGUGCCAGCAGCCGCGGUAAUACGGAGGAUCUGAGCGUUAUCCGGAUUUAUUGGGGUUAACGGGAGCGUAGAUGGGUUGUUAAGUCAGUUGUGAAAGUUUGGGGCUCAACCGUAAGAGUGCAAUUGAUACUGGCAGUCUUGAGUACAGGUGAGGUAGGCGGAAUGCGUGGUGUAGCGGUGAAAUGCUUAGAUAUCACGAAGAACUCCGAUUGCGAAGGCAGCUUACUAAACUGCCACUGACAUUGAGGCUCGAAAGUGUGGGUAUCAAACAGGAGUAGAUACCCGGGUAGUC